AAUCAACGCUGGCGGCGUGCCUAACACAUGCAAGUCGAGCGCGAAAGCGGGGUAACUCGCAAGUAGAGCGGCGAACGGGUGAGUAACGCGUGGGUGAUCUACCUCCGAGUGGGGAAUAACACCGGGAAACUGGUGCUAAUACCGCAUGACAUCCUCGGAUCACACUGGGGAUCAAAGCCGGGGACCGCAAGGCCUGGCGCUUGGAGAGGAGCCCCGCGUCCGAUUAGCAGGUUGGCGGGGUAACGGCCCACCAAGGCGACGACCGGUAGCCGGCCUGAGAGGGCGGACGGGCCACACUGGGACUGAGACACGGCCCAGACUCCUACGGGAGGCAGCAGUGGGGAAUUUUUCGCAAUGGGCGCAAGCCUGACGAAGC
rnacentral:rRNA from 1 species